rnacentral:rRNA from 1 species
GAUGAACGCUGGCGGCGUGCCUAAUACAUGCAAGUCGAGCGAACGGACGAGAAGCUUGCUUCUCUGAUGUUAGCGGCGGACGGGUGAGUAACACGUGGAUAACCUACCUAUAAGACUGGGAUAACUUCGGGAAACCGGAGCUAAUACCGGAUAAUAUUUUGAACCGCAUGGUUCAAUAGUGAAAGACGGUCGUGCUGGCACUUAUAGAUGGAUCCGCGCUGCAUUAGCGAGUUGGUAAGGUAACGGCUUACCAAGGCAACGAUGCAUAGCCGAGCUGAGAGGGUGGUCAGCCACACUGGAACUGAGACACGGUCCAGACUCCUACGGGAGGCAGCCGUAGGGAAUCUUCCGCCAUGGGCGAAAGCCUGACGGAGCAACGCCGCGUGAGUGAGGAAGGUCUUCGGAUCGUAAAACUCUGUUAUUAGGGAAGAAAAUAUGUGUGAGUAACUGUGCACAUCUUGACGGUACCUAAUCAGAAAGCCACGGCUAACUACGUG